CCUACGGGUGGCAGCAGUGAGGAAUAUUGGUCAAUGGACGCGAGUCUGAACCAGCCAAGCCGCGUGCAGGAUGACGGCCCUAUGAGUUGUAAACUGCUUUUGUACGGGAAUAAACUCAGAUACGCGUGUCUUUCUGCAAGUACCGUACGAAUAAGGAUCGGCUAACUCCGUGCCAGCAGCCGCGGUAAUACGGAGGAUCCAAGCGUUAUCCGGAUUUAUUGGGUUUAAAGGGUGCGUAGGCGGUCUGUUAAGUUAGUGGUGAAAGGCCGCGGCUCAACCGUGGAAUUGCAGGUGAAACUGGGAGGCUAGAGAGCAGUUGAGGUAGGCGGAAUGCGUGGUGUAGCGGUGAAAUGCUUAGAUAUCACACAGAACUCCGAUUGCGAAGGCAGCUUAC
rnacentral:rRNA from 1 species